rnacentral:rRNA from 1 species
UGAGAGGGGAAUAACUUCCCGAAAGGGAUGCUAAUACCGCAUGACGCAUAUUUAUCGCAUGGUAGAUAUGCCAAAGACUUAUCGCUCAAAGAUGGACUCGCGUCCGAUUAGCCAGUUGGCGGGGUAACGGCCCACCAAAGCGACGAUCGGUAGCCGGACUGAGAGGUUGAACGGCCACAUUGGGACUGAGACACGGCCCAGACUCCUACGGGAGGCAGCAGUGGGGGAUAUUGCGCAAUGGGGGAAACCCUGACGCAGCAACGCCGCGUGAAGGAUGAAGGUUUUCGGAUUGUAAACUUCUUUUAUUUAGGACGAACAAUGACGGUACGAAAUGAAUAAGCUCCGGCUAACUACGUGCCAGCAGCCGCGGUAAUACGUAGGGAGCAAGCGUUAUCCGGAUUUACUGGGUGUAAAGGGUGCGUAGGCGGCUUGGUAAGUCAGAUGUGAAAUGUAUGGGCUCAACCCAUGCACUGCAUUUGAAACUAUUGAGCUUGAGUGAAGUAGAGGUAGGCGGAAUUCCCUGUGUAGCGGUGAAAUGCGUAGAGAUAGGGAGGAACACCAGUGGCGAAGGCGGCCUACUGGGCUUUAACUGACGCUGAGGCACGAAAGCGUGGGUAGCAAACAGGAUUAGAUACCCUGGUAGUCCACGCUGUAAACGAUGAUUACUAGGUGUGGGGGGUCUGACCCCUUCCGUGCCGGAGUUAACACAAGAAGUAAUCCACCUGGGGAGUACGACCGCAAGGUUGC